rnacentral:tRNA from 1 species
AGCAGCAUGGCUUAGUGGAAAGAGCAUGGGCUUGGGAGUCAGAGGUCAUGGGUUCUAAUCCCAGCUCUGCUA